GGGGAAGGGCGGCUCGGCUCCCCGAGCCGGGCUCCGCCCCCUGCGUGCCGCGCGCUCACAGCUUGCGUGCAGCCGGGCCGGGCGAAGGCGGCGCUGGAGCUCCCGGAGUGACGUGGGCGCGCCUCGCCCGCGCGGGGAGCUCGGCAAGCGGCCCCUGCGGCCCCUGCGGCCUGACGCCCCCCGCCCGGGCAGAGCGCGCCCCUGCUGCUCCGGGGAGCUCAGCUGCGCCUCUGGACUCCUCCGCUCCAGCCUGGCCCAGGGGGUCUCCCCGCUCAGCUUGGGGUCGGUGCGUGCCGGUGCCGCCCCCAGCGCCGCCCCCUUCGCGCUCGCAGGAGCUCGUGCACCUUGCCACUGAGGGAGCUCUGCUUUCUCCGGCCGUGACCGCCGAUCGGCAAUGAAAUAGUUAACGUGGAUGACCUCAAUGGUGUUAGUUGGGUGCUUGCAGCUGCACCUAAGACCAAGCAACAUGCUCUUUUGAGAGUUAUUUUAUUAUUUGUAUCCCAAGCCGUAAACUGCUGUUUUUUCAAAACUGUGUAAUAUUUUUGCAUAUUUACAGUAUAUGUCCAAACCGAUAGGCUGCGUUGCUCCAGCCAAGUUACUGUUGUGGUAGCUGCAUUCUGGGGCUUCUCAGUUAUUAGUAGCUGGCUGGCAGGACUUCACAGGACCCAAAGAGAAUUGUUUCCAAGGUGAUAUACUGUGCCUCUGUGACGUACAUGAUGUGACUGAAACACUGUCAUUGGCAGAUAACUCUGAAACUAUAGAAAAUGAUUGUGAUCUUGAAGGUGGAUAGUCUUCAGAAUCCUGUAUGUUGAGGAUGGAUUCUCCGAAACAAAAUAAGUCAAUGCAGUUAUUUAAUUAUUAUUACCAUACUGCUCAUCUAGUAUUAAUCAUUGCAUUCACUGACACUCGGUACUAUUUUAAGGGUGAAAUUGUACAAGGAAGAUCUGCCUAUUUCAGCUAUUUAUUUUUUUUAUCACAACUGCAUCUAAAAUGAUAGUGCCAUAGAGUAACAACUACAUUUUUUGCUCAAACAUGAAGAUCCUGCAUAUUUAGACAUGUUCCUUUCAUCAUCUUCAAUGCAGCUUCCUCCUGAGAAGGAACUCUUCUCGUGAUGCUAUUUCAUUAAGGCUACCAGGCCUUGCAUUUCUUUGUUGCACUGUUUGCAUUUUGCACGCAUGCCACAGGUAGAGGAACUUCAUUAAAGUAUUCCCAAACUGGGUCUCUUUUAUA